UUAGUAAGCAGCAAGUACAGUACAGUUAGUAGAACAACUGUGUUUUCAUUACUGUGUAUUUGAUAGGUGCCAUUGCCCCGGAAUUGGACAAGGAAGUGAUGGAACUUUGCCAAAACCAACCCUUUGGUCUGAUGUGUGAUGAAAGCACAAGCAGAAAGACGGAUAAAGGUUUGCGAUCCGAAAACUGAGGAGGUGGUGACGAAGUUUCUGCACAUGCCAGUGUGCAACAUUGGCACAGCAGAGAACCUCUUUGAGUCACUGAACACAGUGCUAAGUGACAGAAAAAUUGACUGGAGAAACGAAACCAUGCAGCAUUAAUGUUAUGGAGCUAGGAAAAAGUCUGCCGCAGCUGGGAUUGGACCUGACCAGCCUCCGGGUACAAGUACUGGAGUACCAAUUGCUUGCCAGGGAACAUCUUCCCCAGGAAGCAAGGAUUGACCGGUUUUGGGCCAUGCUAGGGAGAGAUGGAAGAUUCCCCACACUCGUGCAUUUGAUGAAAGCACUUUUAUGCGUGCCACACAGCAAUGCAUCAUCAGAGAGGGUGUUCAGUAUGGUUCGAAAAAUAGUGACAGAGAAUAGAAAGAGGAUGGACAAUUCAACCCUUAACUCACUCCUUUCCUGCAAAAUAAAUUUCACAGAUGCUGCCCACAGCUAUAUUCCUUCAAAGGCUGUGCUUCUGGCUGCAAAGCAUUGUACUUUCAAGUACAACAAUGAGUAGAUGAGUGUUGUGUGUGUGUGUGUAUAUGUGUAAA